rnacentral:rRNA from 1 species
UACGUAGGGUCCGAGCGUUGUCCGGAAUUACUGGGCGUAAAGAGCUCGUAGGUGGUUUGUCGCGUUGUUCGUGAAAACUCACAGCUUACCUGUGGGCGUGCGGGCGGAUACGGGCAGACUUGAGUACUGCAGGGGAGACUGGAAUUCCUGGUGUAGCGGUGGAAUGCGCAGAUAUCAGGAGGAACACCGGUGGCGAAGGCGGGUCUCUGG